CAUAUAAGACAGGACAGCCUGGCUGAACACUCUCUCCCAUGCUGUCUCCCAGACUUUGACAUCCUCUAACUACAUUCUACUGAGGAACUGGAAGCAUAGUUUUGAAACCUCAUUGAAGCCCACAAUGGUGCAGGCAUUGUGCCAGGCACUGAAGAUUGAGACACAAGAGCAUCGUGGGCCCAACAUGAAACAUUCUCAUAGAAAGGACACAGUACUGAGACAGUAAUACCCUGGGUGUGAUCCAUAAAUAGACAGAGGAAGGAGCAAGUGACGGUAGUCUCUGGAGUGAGAAGUCUGUUGAAGCAGAGACCCCCACAGAUAAAGAUUUUGUCAGGGUCAGAGUUGAUGAAGAUAGCCCAGGAAAGGCUACUGAUGAAGAUGCAGACCAACUGUAGUAGAGAUCCCCCCCACAUUUGGAGCAUGCCAAUACCAUGGAUGGACCACCAAGGACAGGAGCAGACAUGCAGUGGAGCCAGCUUAACCUAGCAAUUUAGCUAUGUGUGGUGCCGACAGCAAAGCUGAAGAAAUGGAACUAACUGCCCAGUUCCUUUGGAACCCAAAGGAUCAUGACUGGGUCUUAGACACCAAGCACUACACUUUCACACUGUUGAAUUUUGGAUUUACUUUGAUUAUAACUAUGCUCUGGCUCUUCCCUCUUGGAAUAAGAGAGUGUGUAAUUUAUUUUCUUAUUUUACAACUGAUGAUUGAAAAAUGAACUUUUAAAGAAACUCUGGAGUUUUAAAGAGACCACGGAUAUUUUAGAGACUUUCAGAUGUUGAAGAUGGGCUUUAAUUUGAAAAGAGAUUUUGAAUAUUUUAAAAAGACUGAACUUUUUAAAAAUGUUUGCAUUUUCAAAGACUAUAAAAGUUUUAAUAUUUGGAAUGUUUUAUAUGGUGAGAUUGAUGUUAAUAGGAGAUGGUGGGGCAAGCAAGAAAGGAAAGACUAUGGUUUAAUAGUGAUGUACCAGUGUGUCAAGAUGACAUGGGGUCAUUUUCCACC